rnacentral:rRNA from 1 species
GAUGAACGCUGGCGGCGUGCCUAAUACAUGCAAGUCGAGCGAACAGACGAGGAGCUUGCUCCUCUGACGUUAGCGGCGGACGGGUGAGUAACACGUGGAUAACCUACCUAUAAGACUGGGAUAACUUCGGGAAACCGGAGCUAAUACCGGAUAAUAUAUUGAACCGCAUGGUUCAAUAGUGAAAGACGGUUUUGCUGUCACUUAUAGAUGGAUCCGCGCCGCAUUAGCUAGUUGGUAAGGUAACGGCUUACCAAGGCGACGAUGCGUAGCCGACCUGAGAGGGUGAUCGGCCACACUGGAACUGAGACACGGUCCAGACUCCUACGGGAGGCAGCAGUAGGGAAUCUUCCGCAAUGGGCGAAAGCCUGACGGAGCAACGCCGCGUGAGUGAUGAAGGUCUUCGGAUCGUAAAACUCUGUUAUUAGGGAAGAACAAAUGUGUAAGUAACUAUGCACGUCUUGACGGUACCUAAUCAGAAAGCCACGGCUAUCUACGU